CUCUCUCGCCUUCUUUCUCUCAAGUAAAAAAAAAUAAAAAUCUGUCAUUGCACUUGUCACUUCGCUGCAUGUCAAGCACAGAGAAUGUAUUCAAGCCUUUGGCAACGUGUGGCCUUUAAGGGAAGCCCGGGCGCAGUUUCCCUAAUUAACCCAUCCUCCUCAUGCAUACAGACAUUCAUAUCCACACACCACAAUGCCUCCUUCAUUAGACAGACACAAAGAUCAACAGAUUAAUUGAAUCUGCAUAAAUGCAAAUGUCCUCUCUGAGCGUCCUGCGCGUGCGUGGAGAUGCUUUGCUCAAGAGUCAGAGUCGAGCAACGUUUAUGGUACAAUAGAGUUGUAUACAAUUUAACGCGGCACACAUAAAACAAAAGCAUUGAUUUUUUCUUUUUUUUUGAAAACUUCAAAAAUAGUUUGAUAUCAUUUUGCAAAUAUGUAAUAAAAGGGAGACCUUUUAUCGUUUAUAGCAGACAAAAUAAAUAAGAAAGCACCAGAGGACAAAUAAACCUUAAAAAAAGUCAAUUGCACAUGAUUGGUUCAUUAGGUAUGUUACAGUAAAGUUGCAGCAUGGCAGUUGUAUAUAAUUGAUUUCCUUUAUACAUGCAGUCGUAUGACACAUCUGAGCCGGGCCCAUCAUUAAUUAUUUUGCGACAAUGGACACUCGUCACUGACCCUCAUUAGGGCAUUUAAAACAGCCUCGUUAUUGGGGCAAAUUAACCUAAUUCUUGAGGUUCCUGUAAGGCGCUUGUGCAGUCGCAGAUCAAAGCAGUGACAAGUCUGAGACAGAGUGCAGGCGUGACAAACGGGACAUGUCUGUGUCUUCCUGCAGCGCUGCACAAAGUCAACCGUGAAAACCUACCGCUAUUAGACAUGCAAAAUAACUAAACACAUGUUUACUCUCAUAGCCUGCAUCAACGCAAAGAGGGGGAUUUUUUAAGUGAAAGCAAAUGUAAUCUACAUGAAUAUCUUCAGUGAAUCUGUCAAACAGAGUUAAGAGUUUUUUUGCAUUUUUAUUUAGUCUGAAAAACACGUGAAGAUGAAUGAAUAAAAAACACUGAAUAAAAUAAAAUAAAAACAAAUGCUGAAUUUCUGGAGCAAAAAUGAUUAAUUGAAUGAAUUAGAAUUUAUUGCAGAGAGAUUACGUAAAACAUGGUGGUAAGUACUUGCUUGGCAUUUGGAGACAUUAAUGAAUUGCACUCAGUGGAUGGUGAAAAUGUCACUGGCCGUAUUAACUCUCAGUCAGUUAUUCUUGGAAAUUGCGAUGAAACACAUAUUGAAAUGUGAAAGGCCACAAAAUACUGAGUUCACUUCACUUUACAAGUCAUGACAGGCACUACGAUAUGUAUUUGAUUAUCAAAUGAGAAAAUUAAUUAGUGAAAUAAUAUGUGUGACCUUUUGGAUGUGUAACUAAAAAUAAGCCUGCAGAAAAAGGCAGAAAUAAUCUGUCUGAAAACAUAUUUCAAGUAAAAAAAAUGUUGUUUUUAAAAUUCAGAAGUUUCAUAAAAUAUUUAUCCAUCAAAAUAUAGAUAAUUUAGGAUAUCAUUCAUUUGUUUUCACGUCAUCAAUUAAAUAAACAAAUUAAUAAGGGUAGGAAAAGUGAAUGCAAAGAAAAUAAUAGAAGAAGAUUACAUUGAUUUCCCUGACCACUCUCUUUCUCUGUUACACACACACACACACACACACACACACACACACACACACACACACACACACACGCGCGCGCACAGCACACAGAUGUGUUAAAUAGCUUUGGUGGCAUUUAAAGUUUUUUUUACGAAGCGCCUGAGUGGCAGUGAUACCCUGAGAGGCCUUCAGCAGCAGCCCCGGCGCUGCAGCUUCCCUCCUUCAUGUCCCGGUGUGCGGUGCCUGGCCUGCGUUUAACAAGUCUCCCCCUUUGCUUUUUAAAGACACGUUUAAACAAACACAGCUCCACUCUACAUCCCCCCCCGCCAGCCUCCCUCUGAGCCCGGCACAGUGUGAAAAAGGUGGGACUGGGCUUUGGCUGUUUGUGUGCCUCUGCGGGGCGAGAGCGAGCGGCGGAGGGGCGAGGGAAAGCGAGGGAGGAGUGGCGUGUGUGCACGGGAUUUCACAGAAGGACUGGUGGAUGAAUGAGAGCUUCCCUGCUGGAGAACAGACGUACGGGGCUUGUGCUCAUUAGCCGGCUCGAUCCAAGGCUGCGGGAUAAAAGGAGGCAGGGCAGCCCCUGUUGGACGUACAAAAGAGGGGGUCUUCAUGAGUAUGUGUAUCCCCACUGGGGUCCCAGUGAUAUGGAAAUGCAGGGGAUUGUCAUGAUCUAAUGAAUGGUCAGCUCCUCCCAGCUCCUGCUGUGACCAUGUGAUUGGAGGCACAGGGACCCGUGGUCCUUGGGGCAGAAGAAACGCGCAGGUUGGCCCUCAGGAUCUUGCAUCGAAGCUGAGAAAGUGAAAACCGUGUGCACAUUCCCAGCCAGUUGGACAGACGUGUGACAGUUGUUUUUUGAGUCUGGUCAAGCUUCCUCCAUCCUACCGUCUUUCAUCACAUGCUAUAGUGUGAAAAACAGCAUGAAAGCCCUGUGAUCUCACAUGACAACAACACAAAUGGGUUUAACAAUGGAUGCCUGAUGCUUAAAGGAGUGGCAACAAGUCAAUGCUGUUUUCUUUUUUUUUUUUUUUUUUACAAUUAAUCUGGUUCAUGGAGCCAAUUGUACGCCUUCCCGAGGAGCUCACACAUGGAGCGCUGUACAUUUAGGAACACAAACGGCCCUAAUCGAAGUUGUUUGGUCGUCGCUUACCAUCGGACUGAGACUUUAGGGAGUGUGAACAACCUCUCUGCACCCGGCCGAAGCUUUUCUGUACGUCACGUUAAACAACACGGACGUGUCUGGGAGUUUCUUCUCUCUGCUCCUCCGGCACAUCAAAUUCAUCCACUGCAUCGAGGGGGCCACAGGCUUUGUUUGCAGUGUCCCUGCCCUGAGACAGAGCAGCUCUCCUGGACUACACUAAACUGGCUUGGCAGCCGGCGUGUGUGCAGUGCCAGGCUUGAGGGAAAAUGUGUGUGUGUGUGUGUGGAUUCCGACUCACGUACACCCGUAUCUAAAUCUCCCUGGUGCUGAGAUGCAAGGGGUUCAGACGCUUGGCAUCAUGGGCCUGCAUGCGCUCCCAUCUGCACGUGCUCGUAUGCGCCGCGCGCGCAGACACAGACAGACACCAGCGUAAAGGAAGACAAAUCGGGCGAAUUAAUCCCCCGUACCACCUCUUUUUGGCACUCAUCAGUUCGCGACUUGUGAAAAGCGCCAAAGUGAGGAUUGUAAGUGAGCAGGACACUCGUCACAGGUCCGCCCAUGAGACUCAGUGACACCUGUCAUCACAGCUUACUAUGAAGACCUGCUACACACCACCUCCAGCCUCGCCUGGCCUCGUCUUCUCCACCGACAAAUAAGGGGGGGAGAUGGAGAGGAGAGGAGAGGGGCGGAGGGGGUGGAUUUAUAGAUCCUCUCUUUCUCUGUUCUCUGUACUGGUAGCGAGGUUAGAGGGCACAGAGCAGGCGGCGAGCGGGAUGGAAAGGAGGGAGAGCGAGAUAGAGAGAGAAAAAGGCUUGUUUGGUCGAAAAAACAUUUAACAACUUCCCCUGGAAAUUGAAAGAGGAAAUAGUUUUGGGCUGGAUUGCAGUGGGGGGAGGGGGGGGGGGUGAAGCCCAUAUGAGUACCAGAUGAAGAGAGCAAACAGCCAAGCAGGACUGACGGUGGGAGAGAGAAAAAGAGAGAAAGAGAAGAGAGGGACACAGUCUUUUGAUGUCCUUCAUUUACAUCUCACAACAAAACGGAGUGAAAACAAACUGAAGUGAUUGUACGAACCGUAACAGAGGAAGAGAGAGGGAGAGAGAGAGAGAGAGAGGGGGAGAGAGAGAGAGGGGGAGAGAGAGAGAGGGGGAGAGAGAGAGGUGGACUGGGUGUUUAUGAGGUCAUUUACCAAACUUGUGUUCCAACAUUUCCUUCCCACUUUAAUUUUUCAGCUUUGUUCUACUCUAAUUACUUCCAUCCACAUUGGACAGUGUGUGUGUGUGUGUGUGUGUGUGUGUCUUUGUGAAUGUGACUGCAAAGGCUUGGUGUGUGUGUGUGUGUGUGUGUGUGUGUGUGUGUGUGUGCGGGGUUGUGUAUCGGUGCUUGCCACUGCAACUGUGUGUAUUGCAACAGAGACAAAAUGAGCACAUGCCUUCCCCUCUUUGUACUUUAUCCCUCAACUGUUUCUCUAAGCUCUUACAAAUGUCAAACUAAGGAAAUAACAGGAUUUAUUUAGUUAAAUCAGAAUAUUCUGAUGAUGACAUUCAUAGAGUGGGUAACGAGAUGCUCUGAAGACUCAUCUUCUGGUGGGACGUUUGACAUUUGAGUCGCAUAUAAAAAUUCCUUUAAUUACUUGUGCUGUUAAUCAAGUGUGAAAAAUGUGUAAUGGCAUGUCUGUUCUCUCCACUCGCAACUUAUGACUGCUUUUAAUUGUUAUUUUUCCGGCAAGGAAGUGGCGUAUUCCUCAAUAAUCAUCAAUACAUCAUUUACAUUAGCGAUGAACUUUUUAUAUCUGUUUAACAGUAGGGGGACUUUGUGCAAAGGGUUUUGGUUUCAAUCUUUGUAAUUGUCCAUAUUUACAUACAUUAAUUAGACUUGAUACGCAUGAUAAGUAACUGAUACUGUCUCUAAAAGAAACAACUUAGGACCUACAGCGUGUUUACACGCAGUGCCAGUCCAAAUUUUGGACACACCUUCUCACUGAAUUGAAUGGGAGGGUGUGUCCGGACUUUUGAUUAGUACCGGCAGAAACUUAAAAGGAAUUUUGUCUGUUCUGCUAAAACAGGAAGUAGUUAUACCUAUAUGCAGCAAAAUGGACAGCGUCUGAAAUUAAUACAUGCACGUGCAAUGUGCACCUUGCUGUGUAGCAUGAUUCCCAUUGGGGCCACUGGGUCUGAUUCCACCUGACAUUGCAUGAAUGCACGUAGGGUUUCAAGCCCAACGCAGACGGACCCAGAUGUGGCUUUGCUGCCGCCAUUCGACUUCUGGCAGCCGGAAGCUUUUGGCGGAAGAAGGAGCGCUCGGCACCUGGCAGCAGCGCCUCCUUCUCUACCCAGCAGAGCGUUUUCCUUUCCGUCCUGCAGAUUCAACCCAGACACCACGCUGCUGGAGGCCGUUCCACGAUGCUGGGCCCGCUGGAGGGAAGGGGAGACGCGGGGGGAGAACGGAGAACAGAAGGAGACAAGAACUGGGCAGAAUGUCAGACCCUCCUUGAGUAAAAUGCUUUUCUAAAGUGAUUCUGGGGCUCCGAAUACCACUGCUUUUGUCCUCAAGGACACCCAAAGUCAACACUCAAUGAAAGGUCUUUGUUGUCAUUUUAAGGGUGUGGACGGGUGUGCGUUGCAUUGGACUGCGCAGAAGACUCCAGUCCGUGUCCUGUCAAGAGACCUGCGAAUUGUGAUUUUAAGAAAGUUUACCUUGUUCGCAUGUUCCGAUCUAUUGCUUCUUGGCAGCUGCUCGGAAAUGGC
ensembl:lncRNA